CGCAGCCGCGGUAAUUCCAGCUCCAAUAGCGUAUAUUAAAGUUGUUGCAGUUAAAAAGCUCGUAGUUGAAUUUCGGGGUUAGUAGGUUGGUCAUGCCUCUGGUAUGUACUGGUCUCACUGAUUCCUCCUUCCUGAUGAACCUUAAUGCCAUUAAUUUGGUGUUUUGGGGAAUUUGGACUGUUACUUUGAAAAAAUUUAGAGUGUUUAAAGCAAGCUAACGCUUGAAUACAUUAGCAUGGAAUAAUGAAAUAGGACGUUCGAUCCUAUUUUGUUGGUUUCUAGGAUUGACGUAAUGAUUAAUAGGGAUAGUUGGGGGCAUUAGUAUUCAAUUGUCAGAGGUGAAAUUCUUGGAUUUAUUGAAGACUAACUACUGCGAAAGCAUUUGCCAAGGAUGUUUUCAUUAAUCAAGAACGAAAGUUAGGGGAUCGAAGACGAUCAGAUACCGUCGUAGUCUUAACCAUAAACUAUGCCGACUAGGGGAUCGGAUGAUGUUAAUUUUUUUAAUGACUCAUUCGGCGCC
rnacentral:rRNA from 1 species